AAGUCGUAACAAGGUUUCCGUAGGUGAACCUGCGGAAGGAUCAUUACAGAGUUGUCGACACGAGUUGUUGCUGGUCCUCAAACGGGGGCAUGUGCACACUCUGUUCACACAUCCACUCACACCUGUGCACCCUCUGUAGUUCUAUGGUCUGGGGGACGCGCCGUCUUCCUUCCAUGGUUCUAUGUCUUUACACACACGCCGUAGCGAAGUCUUAUGGAAUGUACUCUGCGUUUAACGCGAUAUAAUACAACUUUCAGCAACGGAUCUCUUGGCUCUC
rnacentral:misc_RNA from 1 species